rnacentral:rRNA from 1 species
GACGAACGCUGGCGGCGUGCUUAACACAUGCAAGUCGGACGGAAAGGCCCUGCUUUUGUGGGGUGCUCGAGUGGCGAACGGGUGAGUAACACGUGAGUAACCUGCCCUUGACUUUGGGAUAACUUCAGGAAACUGGUGCUAAUACCGGAUAGGAGCUCCUGCUGCAUGGUGGGGGUUGGAAAGUUUCGGCGGUUGGGGAUGGACUCGCGGCUUAUCAGCUUGUUGGUGGGGUAGUGGCUUACCAAGGCUUUGACGGGUAGCCGGCCUGAGAGGGUGACCGGCCACAUUGGGACUGAGAUACGGCCCAGACUCCUACGGGAGGCAGCAGUGGGGAAUAUUGCACAAUGGGCGGAAGCCUGAUGCAGCAACGCCGCGUGCGGGAUGACGGCCUUCGGGUUGUAAACCGCUUUCGCCUGUGACGAAGCGUGAGUGACGGUAAUGGGUAAAGAAGCACCGGCUAACUACGUG